rnacentral:rRNA from 1 species
GAUGAACGCUGGCGGCGUGCCUAAUACAUGCAAGUCGAACGGGUGCAGCGAUGUACUAGUGGCGAACGGGUGAGUAACACGUUGGUGACCUGCCCCAAAGAGGGGAAUACCACUUGGAAACGAGUGACAAAACCGCAUAAGCUGUCGAGGAUUAGAAGCUUGACAGUAAAAGAGAAAUCUACUUUGGGAGGGGCCUGCGGCCCAUCAGCUAGUUGGAGAGGUAACGGCUCACCAAGGCGAAGACGGGUAGGGGACCUGAGAGGGUGAUCCCCCACAAUGGAACUGAAACACGGUCCAUACACCUGCGGGUGGCAGCAGUAGGGAAUAUUGCUUAAUGGGCGAAAGCCUGAAGCAGCAACGCCGCGUGAACGAAGAAGGCCUUCGGGUCGUAAAGUUCUUUUACGUGGGAUGA